rnacentral:rRNA from 1 species
UGGAGAGUUUGAUCCUGGCUCAGGAUGAACGCUGGCGGCGUGCCUAAUACAUGCAAGUCGAGCGAACAGACGAGGAGCUUGCUCCUCUGACGUUAGCGGCGGACGGGUGAGUAACACGUGGAUAACCUACCUAUAAGACUGGGAUAACUUCGGGAAACCGGAGCUAAUACCGGAUAACAUGUUGAACCGCAUGGUUCAACAGUGAAAGACGGUCUUGCUGUCACUUAUAGAUGGAUCCGCGCCGCAUUAGCUAGUUGGUAAGGUAACGGCUUACCAAGGCAACGAUGCGUAGCCGACCUGAGAGGGUGAUCGGCCACACUGGAACUGAGACACGGUCCAGACUCCUACGGGAGGCAGCAGUAGGGAAUCUUCCGCAAUGGGCGAAAGCCUGACGGAGCAACGCCGCGUGAGUGAAGAAGGUCUUCGGAUCGUAAAACUCUGUUAUUAGGGAAGAACAAAUGUGUAAGUAACUAUGCACGUCUUGACGGUACCUAAUCAGAAAGCCACGGCUAACUACGAUGCCAGCAGCCAGCGGUAAUA